AAGCUCGUAGUUGAAUUUCGGGGUUAGUAGGUUGGUCAUGCCUCUGGUAUGUACUGGUCUCACUGAUUCCUCCUUCCUUAUGAACCGUAAUGCCAUUAAUUUGGUGUUGCGGGGAAUUUGGACUGUUACUUUGAAAAAAUUAGAGUGUUUAAAGCAAGCUAACGCUUGAAUACAUUAGCAUGGAAUAAUGAAAUAGGACGUUCGAUCUUAUUUUGUUUGGUUUUCUUAGGAUUGACGUAAUGAUUAAUAGGGAUGUUGGG
rnacentral:rRNA from 1 species